rnacentral:rRNA from 1 species
GACGAACGCUGGCGGCGUGCUUAACACAUGCAAGUCGAACGAUGAACCCGGAGCUUGCUCUGGGGGAUUAGUGGCGAACGGGUGAGUAACACGUGAGUAACCUGCCCUGGACUCUGGGAUAAGCGUUGGAAACGACGUCUAAUACCGGAUAGGACCUUGGAUCGCAUGAUCUGGGAUGGAAAGUUUUUUCGGUCUGGGAUGGACUCGCGGCCUAUCAGCUUGUUGGUGAGGUAAUGGCUCACCAAGGCGUCGACGGGUAGCCGGCCUGAGAGGGUGACCGGCCACACUGGGACUGAGACACGGCCCAGACUCCGACGGGAGGCAGCAGUGGGGAAUAUUGCACAAUGGGCGAAAGCCUGAUGCAGCAACGCCGCGUGCGGGAUGACGGCCUUCGGGUUGUAAACCGCUUUUAGUAGGGAAGAAGGGCUUCGGCUUGACGGUACCUGCAGAAAAAGGACCGGCUAACUACGUG